rnacentral:lncRNA from 1 species
AUAUCAGUGACUGAAGAUCAAAUGAAUGAAAUGAACAAUCCUCCCCUCAUCCAUGGUUUCAUUUUCUAUGGUUCCAGUUACUCAUGGUCAACCAUGGUCAGAAAACAGGUGCUAGUUCUGUGAUAGCAGGCGAGUUCUCGUGAGAUCUCAUCAUUGAAAAGUGUGUGGCACCUCCCCCAACCUUGGUCCUGCUCCUGUAACAUGUAAGACACCUGCUCCUGCUUUGCCUUCUGCCAGGAGUAAAAGCUCCCCUAGGCCUCCUACAAGGCAGAUGCUGCCAUGCUUCUUGCACAACCUGUGGAACCAUAAGCCAAUUAAACCUCUUUUCUUCACCCAGUCUCAGGUAUUUCUUUAUAGCAAUGUGAGAACAGACUAAUACAGUAUAUAUAAAGUUUGGUACUGUCCUCAGUUUUGGGCAUCCACUGGGGGUCUUAAAAUGUAUCCCUUGAGGAUAAGGGUAAACUAUUGUGUAGUAAAAAUAUGGUCUUCAUAAUUUCUGCUGUUGGGAAUUUAUUAAGUAUCUUUCUCUACUCCAUUAUUAAUUUUCUAUAUCUUCUUUAUUGUGUCUAUUUUACCUAUUAUAGAUUAAUACUGUAAAUUCUCCUACAGAGAGUGUGUUUCUGCCCAUUUUUCCUUAUAUAUCUAGUAUUUUUAUUCUAUAUACUUUUGCAACCUCUAAAUAUUUUUUUCUUCAUAUUUGUAUGAUAAAUUGUGCCAAUUUCAUUGUUUCUAUUGUUCUUUGUUAUUUUGUUUCAGUACUUUCUCCUGGAGAUAAAGAACUUGAUACUUUCCC